AGCGUAGGUGGCCUAACAUGUCAACUGUGAAAACCCGGAGCUCAACUCCGGACUUGCAGUUGAAACUGGUAGGCUUGAGGACGGUAGAGGAAGACGGAACUGCCAGUGUAGGGGUAAAAUCCUUAGAUAUUGGCAGGAACGCCGGUGACGAAGGUGGUUUUCUGGGCCGGUUCUGACACUGAUGCUCGAAAGCCAGGGGUAGCGAACG
rnacentral:rRNA from 1 species